ACUAACUUCAGUAAAGCUGCUGUGUAAAUGGCAUUUAAAAUCACUGUUAUCACCACUGACAGAGAUGACGUCAGCUCUUUGCCACCUGAGUAAAUAAAUAUUUAUAAGGUGCUGUAAGUCUGAAGAAUGUCACACUGCUCCAAUAGACUUCAUUUUCAGGCAAGAGUGAAAUAGGCAACCACAAGAACCCCGUCACCACAUUUGAUGGGUUGUCCAUUCUCUUCUCUAAUACAGGCUUUAGUUCACUAUCAUCAUGGCAGCACGCAUGGUGCUGGAGCAGUAGCUGAGAGUUAUAUCCUCAUCCACGGGACCAGAGGGACACUAGUCCUGGAAUGGAAUUUGGAAGCCUCAAAGUCUACCCCAGCAUGGCCACGCCUCCUAAUCCUUCUAAUCCUAUCAAAGACUUCCACUACCUGGAUAUUUUUGACCCUAGAUACUUUUUCCUUUAAAUUUGAUGGAGCUGUGAUCAUGCCUCUGACCUCUAGCCUUGAAAGAAGACGAGUUAUGCCUCUCAGGAGUGAUGCCUCAGGCACUUUGCAAGUCGGCUGGCAGGAUUAUUUCCCAGGCUGUGAAGUGAUGACCUUCCACCGAGAGUGAAUGUCUGCAGCGCACGUAGUAAAUUCUACCAGCCAUGAUUGAGAGCCUUAGCUUUGUUACCUGCUCUAUGAAUCAGAGGCCAUUCUUUCUCUCUACAGCGGAUUGGUAAUUUAGUGCUGUAUUUAAAGCCACGUGUUACCACAUGUGCACACGUGGGUUAAUUUACUGUUGCCCAUGAUUACAUUCUGCUUUUGUGCCUGACAUAAGGUCACUUCAGAGGUAAAUCUAGAAUUUUGGAAUAAAUGGGUGGAAUGAAG
rnacentral:lncRNA from 1 species